CCUACGGGAGGCUGCAGUGGGGAAUAUUGGGCAAUGGGCGCAAGCCUGACCCAGCAACGCCGCGUGAAGGAAGAAGGCUUUCGGGUUGUAAACUUCUUUUAAGAGGGAAGAGCAGAAGACGGUACCUCUUGAAUAAGCCACGGCUAACUACGUGCCAGCAGCCGCGGUAAUACGUAGGUGGCAAGCGUUGUCCGGAUUUACUGGGUGUAAAGGGCGUGCAGCCGGGAAGACAAGUCAGAUGUGAAAUCCCGCGGCUCAACCGCGGAACUGCAUUUGAAACUGUUUUUCUUGAGUACCGGAGAGGUCAUCGGAAUUCCUUGUGUAGCGGUGAAAUGCGUAGAUAUAAGGAAGAACACCAGUGGCGAAGGCAGCUCACUGGACUGCAACUGACACUGAGGCUCGAAAGUGUGGGUAUCAAACAGGAUUAGAUACCCUAGUAGUC
rnacentral:rRNA from 1 species